rnacentral:rRNA from 1 species
UACGAAGGGGGCUAGCGUUGCUCGGAAUCACUGGGCGUAAAGGGUGCGUAGGCGGGUUUUAAGUCAGGGGUGAAAUCCUGGAGCUCAACUCCAGAACUGCCUUUGAUACUGGCGACCUUGAGUCCGGGAGAGGUGAGUGGAACUGCGAGUGUAGAGGUGAAAUUCGUAGAUAUUCGCAAGAACACCAGUGGCGAAGGCGGCUCACUGGCCCGGUACUGACGCUGAGGUGCGAAAGCGUGGGGAGCAAACAGGGAUUAAGAAACCCUA